CAAAACAGAGAACGCAGCAAGAGAGAGAUACCCCCAGCUGAUCCCCUGAAGGGUUUCUAAAAGCUGAACCUCCUAAUAACUGAGUCUCUUUCUCUCUUUCUUUCCAGUUUCUCUGCAAAGAUCCAGGGCACAAGUUUCUGAUAUUCCCUUCUCUUCUCUGUGGUAAAGAUGGCAUGAGUCACAGCAGUUCGCUGGUUUCCAGUCACCAUGAUCAAGCAUCAUCGUUGAACCUGUGAUUCCAGGCUUUAACUAGAAGUCUGGUUCUUACGCGCCUCCUCAGUCUGGUACUGCUCAGUGCCAGUAAUCCCAACUGCCAAAAGGUCAAGAGCAAGAGUCAUUUGGAUUCCUGCCACAUUUCUCAUUCAUGUCAAAAGCAAUGGAACCUGGCACUGCACAGAAACCAGGCAGGCAAUCAAGAGAGACACGGGGAGCAACUGCCAGAUGUUGAGGGUCACUGGAAGAUACAACUGCUCAGCUGUUCCAAAAUG